rnacentral:rRNA from 1 species
AUUGAACGCUAGCGGGAUGCCUUACACAUGCAAGUCGAACGGAGUGUCGAACGGGUAAGUAAGGUCUCGGAACGUGCCCCGUGGCGGUGGAUCCCUACGCGAAAGCGUAACUAUUACCGCAUACUAUUGCCGCGCCCGAUGUCGUAUUAGCUGGUGGGAGGGGUAACGGCUAACCAAGGCGAAGAUCCGUAGCUGGUUUGAGACGAUGACCAGCCACACUGGGACGGAGACACGGCCCAGACUCCUACGGGAGGCAGCAGGGGGGAAUUUUGGACAAUGGGGGAAAGCCUGACCCAGCCAUCCCGCGUGAGUGAUGAAGGCCUUCGGGUUGUAAAGCACUUUUGGCAGAAAAGCGGUACCUGCAGAAGAAGCACCGGCUAACUACGUGCCAGCAGCCGCGGUAAUUC